GAUGAAGAACGCAGCGAAAUGCGAUAAGUAAUGUGAAUUGUAGAAUUCAGUGAAUCAUCGAAUCUUUGAACGCACAUUGCGCCCGUCAGUAUUCUGGCGGGCAUGCCUGUUCGAGCGUCAUUACGCCCCUCAAGUCCCCUGUGGACUUGGUGUUGGGGAUCGGCGAGGCUGGUUUUCCAGCACAGCCGUCCCUUAAAUUAAUUGGCGGUCUCGCCGUGGCCCUCCUCUGCGCAGUAGUAAAACACUCGCAACAGGAGCCCGGCGCGGUCCACUGCCGUAAAACCCCCCAACUUUUUAUAGUUGACCUCGAAUCAGGUAGGACUACCCGCUGAACUUAAGCAUAUCAAUAAGCGGAGGA
rnacentral:misc_RNA from 1 species